UUCCCACAGGAUGGUAUGAUGUGUCUAGUGCAGUAGCCUGAUGUCAGCGUUAAGGUGCUUGUAUGCAACUUCUUGUUGUCACCUACUGCCGCUGGCUAGCCCUUUGGUGAAAAGGGGAGCAGAGUGCGUAAGACUUCCGCUGCCAGUACACAACCUCUCUACCAUCAAGACUCCUGCUGUGCCUCCUGCCUUCGGGCUCGGCAACCCCCGGGUACUGGGUGUCUUGCGACGCCUUGCCAGACCAGCAGGGGAUCUCGGAGCAGCAGUGGGCCCCAGAGGUACGGCGUGCAGGCCCACUGGCGUGUGGACACGCCCUGGCGCCUACCAACCACUGCGCGUCACCAACGAAAAUAACAACCUUGAAAUUGUCCCGCACUUCACAUACAUCGACAGCGUUUUGGAACUCAGCUGCAGUAUCGACGACGAUAUCCAAAGAAGCUUGCAAAAGAUCUUGUGGCUAACAUGGAAAGACAAAGUGCCUCACACCGAAAAACUCGAACAAGCCAACACAGUCAACAUAGAUGUCAUAUCUUCUGUAUGCUUGACAGCCGUCUGCCUCGCCAGAUGCUAUUCCGGCAACUCGAUCUGCCGGCGUCCCACGCAAACGCUACAAAGACCACAUACAAAAUAAUCUAAAAAAAUGUAACGUCAGAUCCACCGGCCAAGAGAUUAAUGCUGCGCAACGCAGUAACUAGCGAUCGUUGUGUCAGACGGGCGUCCGACACUUUGAGGAUCAGUGGGCCAUACUCCGUCAGGAAAAUCGGCGGAGAAAACACCAAUUUGUUGCUGCAAAAGAUGUUCCCAGAGUCCCAGUCCUCACAUGUCAGCAUUGUGGCAGGAUGUAUACAUCUCGCAUAGGAUUCCACAGCCACCUGAAGUGGUACGAACGCCAACAACAACGUCGACAACAUUCAACAAUCAUCAUCAUCUACUGGGAGCAUCGUCGUCAUCAACCCCGAAGGACAGCCUUAGGCAAAGUACGUUGCCUCGGGCUGUAUAGUGACGACCAGUUUAUUGACAAGCACGGACGAACGACUAAACUACCAGGACAGUGAAUGGUGGUGUUCACAACGGAGGUGAAUAAAUAAUGUGCAUCUAUCUCCAUAACGCACACGCUAUAACAACACUCCACAAGCCACUACUCUUGGCCUCUCCUUGAUGACAGACUACUGGGAUGAUUUACGAACUUCGACUGGCGAUAAAAGUCUUGAUGACAUGAGGCUGUUAGAAGCGUGGCCGAAGUAAUGUUCCUCUA